GAACGCUGGCGGCAGGCCUAACACAUGCAAGUCGAGCGGAUGAGGGUAGCUUGCUACCUGAUUCAGCGGCGGACGGGUGAGUAAUGCCUAGGAAUCUGCCCGAUAGUGGGGGAUAACGUUCCGAAAGGAACGCUAAUACCGCAUACGUCCUACGGGAGAAAGCGGGGGAUCUUCGGACCUCGCGCUAUCGGAUGAGCCUAGGUCGGAUUAGCUAGUUGGUGAGGUAAAGGCUCACCAAGGCGACGAUCCGUAGCUGGUCUGAGAGGAUGAUCAGCCACACUGGAACUGAGACACGGUCCAGACUCCUACGGGAGGCAGCAGUGGGGAAUAUUGGACAAUGGGCGAAAGCCUGAUCCAGCCAUGCCGCGUGUGUGAAGAAGGUCUUCGGAUUGUAAAGCACUUUAAGUUGGGAGGAAGGGUUGUAACCUAAUACGUUGCAACUUUGACGUUACCGACAGAAUAAGCACCGGCUAACUUCGUGCCAGCAGCCGCGGUAAUACGAAGGGUGCAAGCGUUAAUCGGAAUUACUGGGCGUAAAGCGCGCGUAGGUGGUUUGAUAAGUUGGAUGUGAAAGCCCCGGGCUCAACCUGGGAAUUGCAUCCAAAACUGUCUGACUAGAGUACGGUAGAGGGUAGUGGAAUUUCCUGUGUAGCGGUGAAAUGCGUAGAUAUAGGAAGGAACACCAGUGGCGAAGGCG
rnacentral:rRNA from 1 species